GGGCGGGGACCCUCGGAAGCCAGCUGGGUGGCGAUCGCUUGUCUGCCUUGGCAGGCCCCUUGUGCAGUCUUUUCCCGGCGUGAGCGUGCAGGGAUUGAAAAGGAAUGCUUUAUGGUUCAGCAGAGAGCCACCACGCAGGAUGCACUGGGACCUGAGAACCGUCGGGCAGUCCCACGAGCUCUUUCAUGACCAGCUCCAACCGACAAGUACACGCCCCUUCGCACUCCACUAGCUAGUAAGCUGAGCUACAAGGUGUGCCAGGCACCCAGGACGCCGAUUCACCGCUUCAGAGCCCUCUUUCUUCCAUUCACUUACCUGUCUAGUCAAACACCCAUCAGACCUUUGCCAGGUGUCCAGCCUGGGCACUACGUUUCAGAAAAUGAUGCACAUAGAAUCCCUAACUGAAAGGAGAUCGCAGCUCAUUUGGUACAAAGUGGUAACGGCAGAGUCCCAAAACACAUGAAGCAAGAACUGACAGAACUGGAGGGAGACAUCAAUCAAUAACAACAGUUGGAGAAUUCAAUACCCUGCUCUGAAUAAUGGAUAGAACAAUUAGGCAGAAGACCAACAAAGAAAGAGGAUAUUUGAACAACGUGAUAAGCCAAUUUGACCUAAUAAAUAUCUUUAUCUGUGAAACACCCUAGCUUUUAGCCUGGGUAAGGAGCUGGAGAGAUGUGAAAAUGUGGAAAGCAAGCCUAAGUCGCAGUGUGGCCUAUGCCUGAGAGCCAUCUUCAGUGCCCCCUUGUGGCUGUAUCUGGGAACCACAGACAGAAUCAUGGAACUGACCAUCUUCAGUCUCAAAGUGCUGCCCUCACCACUACACCCAGGGGCAGGUGGUCUUCGGGGGAAAGGCGGUUCCAGUUCCUUCUCCCAAGCCAGUGAGGAAGUCAAUCCUGCGAACAACUGCAGGAACGGCCUUGGGAGUGGAUCCUUCCUCAGCCCGGCUCCAAGACAACUGCAGCCCUGUGAGAAACCCUGAGUGGAGGACCAAGCCAAGCCUCAAAUCGUGACUUGGAACUGGGAGACAACAGAUGCUGUUGGAAGCCACUGAGCUCUGAAGUAGUUUGUUACACAGUGACAGGUAACUUACACACCAUGGCAGGGUCAUGUGG
rnacentral:lncRNA from 1 species